rnacentral:rRNA from 1 species
GAAGGCUUGAAUGAAGGGUUGGACGAGGGGUAAGCUGUCUCCAUUGCAUGGCUUGAAUUUAACUUUUGAGUGAAAAGGCUCAAAUUGUUUAGUGGGACGAUAAGACCCUAUAAAACUUAAUAUAGGUUUAACUUGAUUCGCAAUUAUGGGUGAAAAGGUGUUUUGUUCUGCCUAUAUUUUGUUGGGGAGAUGUAGAUAUAAUGUGUAACUGUCUGUUGAAUUUAAUAGUUAUGAUUAGUGUGUGAUCCUUCAUUGGGGAUUAGGAGAAUAAGUUACUUUAGGGAUAACAGCGUGAUUUUCUUUGAGAGUUCUUAUCGACAAGAGUAGUUGCGACCUCGAUGUUGAAUUAAAGUUUCAGCUAGGUGUAGCUGUUUAGCUGGUGGGUCUGUUCGACCUUUAAAA